rnacentral:rRNA from 1 species
UACGUAGGGGGCAAGCGUUGUCCGGAUUUAUUGGGCGUAAAGAGCGUGUAGGCGGCUUGGAAGGUCCGUUGUGAAAACUCGAGCUCAACCUCGAGACGCCGAUGGAAACCACCUAGCUAGAGUCCGGAAGAGGAGAGUGGAAUUCCUGGUGUAGCGGUGAAAUGCGCAGAUAUCAGGAAGAACACCCGUGGCGAAGGCGGCUCUCUGGGACGGUACUGACGCUGAGACGCGAAAGCGUGGGGAGCGAACAGG